GUGCUUGCUUCAGCAGCACAUAUACUAAAAUUGAAAUGAUACAGAGAUUAACAUGGCUCCUGCACAAGGAUGACAUGCAAAUUUGUGAAGCGUUCCGUAUUUUU
rnacentral:snRNA from 1 species